rnacentral:rRNA from 1 species
GACGUAGGGGGCCAGCGUUGUUCGGAAUUACUGGGUGUAAAGGGUUCGUAGGCGGUGUGGCAAGUCGGGAGUGAAAUUUCUGGGCUCAACUCAGAGACUGCUUCCGAAACUGCUGUGCUUGAGUGUGGGAGAGGCGCGUGGAAUUGCAGGUGUAGCGGUGAAAUGCGUAGAUAUCUGCAGGAACACCCGUGGCGAAAGCGGCGCGCUGGACCACUACUGACGCUGAGGAACGAAAGUGUGGGGAGCGAACAGG